GCCUGGGUGGCUCAGUCAGUUAAGUGUCUGAUUUUGACUCAGGUCAUGAUCUCACGGUUUGUGGGUUCAAGCCCCAUGUCGGGCU
rnacentral:tRNA from 1 species